rnacentral:rRNA from 1 species
GACGAACGCUGGCGGCGUGCCUAAUACAUGCAAGUAGAACGCUGAAGGAGGAGCUUGCUUCUCUGGAUGAGUUGCGAACGGGUGAGUAACGCGUAGGUAACCUGCCUGGUAGCGGGGGAUAACUAUUGGAAACGAUAGCUAAUACCGCAUAAGAGUAGAUGUUGCAAGACAUUUGCUUAAAAGGUGCAAUUGCAUCACUACCAGAUGGACCUGCGUUGUAUUAGCUAGUUGGUGGGGUAACGGCUCACCAAGGCGACGAUACAUAGCCGACCUGAGAGGGUGAUCGGCCACACUGGGACUGAGACACGGCCCAGACUCCUACGGGAGGCAGCAGUAGGGAAUCUUCGGCAAUGGACGGAAGUCUGACCGAGCAACGCCGCGUGAGUGAAGAAGGUUUUCGGAUCGUAAAGCUCUGUUGUAAGAGAAGAACGAGUGCGAGAGUGGAAAGUUCACACUGUGACGGUAUCUUACCAGAAAGGGACGGCUAACUACGUG